AUACGGAGGGUGCAAGCGUUACUCGGAAUCACUGGGCGUAAAGCGCGCGCAGGCGGCUAUUUAAGUUGGAUGUGAAAGCCUACGGCUCAACCGUAGAACUGCAUCCAAAACUAUUUAGCUAGAGUGUGGGAGAGGAAGAUGGAAUUAGUUGUGUAGGGGUAAUAUCCGUAGAGAUAACUAGGAAUACCAAAAGCGAAGGCAAUCUUCUGGAACACUACUGACGCUGAGGCGCGAAAGCGUGGGGAGCAAACAGGAUUAGAAACCCCAGUAGUCC
rnacentral:rRNA from 1 species